GCCGAAUGUGCUCAUGAUUCUGAAAGUGAUUUGCGAUACCUCAAAUUCCCUCUACAAAAGAAAUGAACAAGUAAACUAAAAGUAUCUGUCCAGAGGAGUAAGCUUGGAACUGACAGAGGAGUAGGAAAAGAAUAGUUUAGUAAAUGAAAACCAGUGCUCAUUUCCAAAGGUGUGCAUUCACGAAAUCACAUGUAGAUUUCAUAAAUUCAACUAUCUGCAUAUGUAUUUGUUUGUCCACAUAGCAAGCAUGUUACUUCCAUUACGCAUAGUGAU